GGGGAUGUGGCGCAAGUGGUAGCGCGAUCGCCUGGUAUGCGUACGGCCUGGGUUCGAUCCUCAGCACCA
rnacentral:tRNA from 1 species